GGGUGAGGAGAAACCUGAGUGACCCCUGACAUCCUCCAGGUCCUAAUGUCCUGGUGUCCCCUCCCUCGCCGUUCCAUGUGCGUCCCUCCCAAAACUGCACACUCGGUCGGUCAAGGAGGACGACCACCCCUGAUAAAGGAGCACUGCUUCCUGGGUCAAAGGUGUAUGGGUAGCUGUGCUCCCCCACUAGAACCUCCAAACGAGCUCUGAGAAUGUACUUCCACGAGGAAAGAACAGCAUCAGGCAAGGGCUGGUGAUGUUCCGGGCUCCACUCACCCU
rfam:Fukomys damarensis contig120542, whole genome shotgun sequence.